rnacentral:rRNA from 1 species
GAUGAACGCUGGCGGCGUGCCUAAUACAUGCAAGUCGAGCGAACAGACGAGGAGCUUGCUCCUCUGACGUUAGCGGCGGACGGGUGAGUAACACGUGUAUACCCUACCUAUAAGACUGGGAUAACUUCGGGAAACCGGAGCUAAUACCGGAUAAUAUCUUGAACCGCAUGGUUCAAUAGUGAAAGACGGUUUUGCUGUCACUAAUAGAUGGAUCCGCGCCGCAUUAGCUAGUUGGUAAGGUAACGGCUUACCAAGGCAACGAUGCGUAGCCGACCUGAGAGGGGGAUCGGCCACACUGGAACUGAGACACGGUCCAGACUCCUACGGGAGGCAGCAGUAGGGAAUCUUCCGCAAUGGGCGAGAGCCUGACGGAGCAACGCCGCGUGAGUGAUGAAGGUCUUCGGAGCGUAAAACUCUGUUAUUAGUGAAGAACAAAUGUGUAAGUAACUAUGCACGUAUUGACGGUACCGAAUCAGAAAGCCACGGCUAACUACGUG